ensembl:snRNA U6 U6 spliceosomal RNA
AUGCUCGCUUUGGCAGCACAUAUACUAAAAUCAGCGGAUACAGAGAAGAUUAGCAAGGCCCAUACACCAGGACGACAGGCGAACUUGUGAAUGUGCCCGAUUUAUU